rnacentral:rRNA from 1 species
AGGGUGUAAACGCUGCGGGCUUGGUGUUGGGGGUCCUUUGAGGGCGCCCAGUGCCGGAGAGAAGUUGUUAAGCCUGCUGCUUGGGGAGUACGUCCGCAAGGAUGAAACUUAAAGGAAUUGGCGGGGGAGCACCGCAACGGGAGGAGCGUGCGGUUCAAUUGGAUUCAACGCCGGAAAUCUUACCGGGACCGACAGCAACAUGAAGGCCAAGCUGAAGACUUUGCCGGAUUAGCUGAGAGGAGGUGCAUGGCGUAGACGUCU